GGGUCAGUAGGUUGGUCGUGCCACCGGUACGUACUGGUCUCACUGAUUCCUCCUUCCUGAAGAACCGUAAUGCCAUUAAUUUGGUGUUGCGGGGAAACAGGACUGUUACUUUGAAAAAAUUAGAGUGUUUAGAGCAAGCUAACGCUUGAAUACAUUAGCAUGGAAUAAUGAAGUAGGACGAUCGAUCCUAUUUUGUCGGUUUCUAGGAUUGACGUA
rnacentral:rRNA from 1 species